AUACGGAGGGUGCAAGCGUUACUCGGAAUCACUGGGCGUAAAGCGCGCGCAGGCGGCUUGAUAAGUUGGAUGUGAAAGCCUACGGCUCAACCGUAGAACUGCAUCCAAAACUGUCAGGCUAGAGUGUGGGAGAGGAAGAUGGAAUUAGUUGUGUAGGGGUAAAAUCCGUAGAGAUAACUAGGAAUACCAAAAGCGAAGGCAAUCUUCUGGAACACUACUGACGCUGAGGCGCGAAGGCGUGCGGAGCAAACAGGAUUAGAUACCCUAGUAGUCC
rnacentral:rRNA from 1 species